rnacentral:rRNA from 1 species
AUGAACGCUGGCGGCGUGCCUAAUACAUGCAAGUCGAGCGAACGGACGAGAAGCUUGCUUCUCUGAUGUUAGCGGCGGACGGGUGAGUAACACGUGGAUAACCUACCUAUAAGACUGGGAUAACUUCGGGAAACCGGAGCUAAUACCGGAUGAUAUUUUGAACCGCAUGGUUCAAAAGUGAAAGACGGUCUUGCUGUCACUUAUAGAUGGAUCCGCGCUGCAUUAGCUAGUUGGUAAGGUAACGGCUUACCAAGGCAACGAUGCAUAGCCGACCUGAGAGGGUGAUCGGCCACACGAGAGCUGAGACACGGUCCAGGCUCCUACGGGAGGCAGCAGUAGGGAAUCUUCCGCAAUGGGCGAGAGCCUGACGGAGCAACGCCGCGUAAGUGGUGAAGGUCUUCGGAUCGUAAAACUCUGUUAUUAGGGAGAAACAAAUGUGUAGGUAACUGUGCACGUCUUGACGGUACCUAAUCAGAAAGCCACGGCUAACUACGUG